CCCAUAUUCACUUACACCCAUUCUUACACUGGGGUACUUGAUUCAGAAGUGCACACUGUUGCUAUUUUGCAUGAGAAAUACUGAGCUUUAUUCUGAUGUGUAGGGACAAGGUUGAAUAUCUGUUGUAUGUAGAGGUGACUGCUUGGCAAUAAUGGACCGGGACGUACUUAUUUCUAAAUCAAGAUAAUGCCACUCAUGGCCCCAGAAACUAACUGUUGGGUUAUAAUUUAUCACCUACCUCUUCUUCUCUAAUUCCCAGUGAGGAAUGGCGAGACAGUCCAAAUCCAAGUGACCUGAAGGCUUCAAAUAUCUUUGAGAAAUGAUUUCCUAAAGCUCUGAGAAAAAGAUGAAAAUGCAAACCGAUACCUGUGCUCCAUCAGAAAAAAUAGGCUUCCAUGGUGAGAGACAAGAAAUUGCAUCCUCUCCGGAUACCGAACCUAUUGGCACCAGGAAGCUUCAUUUCUUACAGCCUCCAGAACCGUGAGAUGUGAAUGUGCUGUUUGUAAGCCACCUGGAUUAUCUAUUGUAUUU
ensembl:lncRNA